GACGAACGCUGGCGGCGUGCUUAACACAUGCAAGUCGAACGGAAAGGCCCUGCUUUUGUGGGGUGCUCGAGUGGCGAACGGGUGAGUAACACGUGAGUAACCUGCCCUUGACUUUGGGAUAACUUCAGGAAACUGGGGCUAAUACCGGAUAGGAGCUCCUGCUGCAUGGUGGGGGUUGGAAAGUUUCGGCGGUUGGGGAUGGACUCGCGGCUUAUCAGCUUGUUGGGGGGGUAGUGGCUUACCAAGGCUUUGACGGGUAGCCGGCCUGAGAGGGUGACCGGCCACAUUGGGACUGAGAUACGGCCCAGACUCCUACGGGAGGCAGCAGUGGGGAAUAUUGCACAAUGGGCGGAAGCCUGAUGCAGCAACGCCGCGUGCGUGAUGACGGCCUUCGGGUUGUAAACCGCUUUCUCCUGUGACGAAGCGUGAGUGACGGUAAUGGGUAAAGAAGCACCGGCUAACUACGUG
rnacentral:rRNA from 1 species